rnacentral:rRNA from 1 species
AGUGAACGCUGGCGGUAGGCCUAACACAUGCAAGUCGAACGGCAGCACAGUAAGAGCUUGCUCUUACGGGUGGCGAGUGGCGGACGGGUGAGGAAUACAUCGGAAUCUACUUUUUCGUGGGGGAUAACGUAGGGAAACUUACGCUAAUACCGCAUACGACCUACGGGUGAAAGCAGGGGAUCUUCGGACCUUGCGCGAUUGAAUGAGCCGAUGUCGGAUUAGCUAGUUGGCGGGGUAAAGGCCCACCAAGGCGACGAUCCGUAGCUGGUCUGAGAGGAUGAAUAGCCACAACGGAAAUGGGAAAAGGGUCAGAAGCCUAAGGGAGGGAGCAGGGGGGAAAAUUUGAAAAAGGGGGGAAAGCCUAAUCAAGCAAAACGGGGGGGGGAAAGAAGGCCUUGGGGUUGAAAAGCUUUUUGUUGGGAAAGAAAAGCAGCAGGUUAAUACCCCGCUGUUCUGACGGUACCCAAAGAAUAAGCACCGGCUAACUUCGUG